UACAGAGGGGGCAAGCGUUCUUCGGAAUUAUUGGGCGUAAAGGGCGCGUAGGCGGCCUGACAAGUGGAAGGUGAAAUCCCUCGGCUUAACCGAGGAACUGCCCUCCAAACUGUUUGGCUUGAGUCCGGGAGAGGUGAGUGGAAUUCCCAGUGUAGCGGUGAAAUGCGUAGAUAUUGGGAGGAACACCAGUGGCGAAGGCGGCUCACUGGACCGGAACUGACGCUGAUGCGCGAAAGCGUGGGGAGCAAACGGG
rnacentral:rRNA from 1 species